GGAAGGAAGAAUGGAAAUUACAAUAACAAAAUCUUAAUUCUAAUAGAAUACUAACAAUGCUCUAAUUAGACCAUAAUAAUACUAAAUAAGCUUAAUCAAAUUCAAAGAAACUUCAGAGAAAUUUUAAACAAACAAUAAAAAUUCUUAAAGAAAUAUUAGAAGGAUCACAAAUAUCACUCAAAUACAUCUCAAUUCAAUCUUAAUUUAAUUCUAGUUAAAAUCCUAUUGAACUUCAUUCAAACUUUAGGCCAAAAAUAAUUGAAUCUUAAAUCCUAAUAAAAUCCUAAAUCCUAAAUCAAACCCUAAAAAAACCUUAAACCAAACUCCAAUCAAAUCCUCAACCAAAUCCUAAAUCCUAAAUCAAAUCAUAAUCAAAUCCUAAUCCAAAUCCUAAA
rnacentral:lncRNA from 1 species